ACACUGACGUCGCGACGCAUAUCAAUAAGCGGAGGAAAAGAAACUAACAAGGAUUCCCUUAGUAACGGCGAGUGAAGCGGGAAGAGCUCAAAUUUGAAAUCUUCAAGGUUCUACCUUGACGAAUUGUAGUUUAAAGAAGUGUUUUCUGUUAGUAGGAGUAGUAAAAGUUCUUUGGAAUAGGACAUCAUAGAGGGUGAGAAUCCCGUAUUUGACCAGUUCUUUUCUAGCUGUGUGAUACACUUUCAAAGAGUCGGAUUGUUUGGGAAUGCAGUCCAAAAUGGGUGGUAAAUUUCAUCUAAAGCUAAAUAUUGGCGAGAGACCGAUAGCGAACAAGUACCGUGAGGGAAAGAUGAAAAGAACUUUGAAAAGAGAGUUAAACAGUACGUGAAAUUGUCAAAAGGGAAGCGUUUGACACCAGUGUUGUUUUUUCCGAAAAUCAAUUAUAAAUGUUUUGUUUCUGAGGAGUGAUGACUUCAUCGGCUUCCUUCUCUCUUCACGAAACUUUUGUAAUGCACUUUUCGGUUAACAAGUCAACAUCAAUUUCUUUUGUUGUAAGAGAGUAUUCGGAAGGUGGCUUUCUUUUCGGAGAAAGUGUUUAUAGCCCUAUACUUCUACAAUCGGAGAGAUUGAGGUCUGCAGCGUAGAUCCCUCGGGGUUAGAUACACUUGUGCUAAGUUAUAGCUUUUCAUAGACAACUUGUUGACUAUGUUUAGUCUUGUAGCUUACUCGCUUGUGCUAUUUUACCUACGCUUAGGAUGUUGAGUCGUAGAGCACGCAG
rnacentral:rRNA from 1 species